AACGAACGCUGGCGGCAGGCUUAACACAUGCAAGUCGAACGCCCCGCAAGGGGAGUGGCAGACGGGUGAGUAACGCGUGGGAAUCUACCCAGUUCUACGGAAUAACACAGGGAAACUUGUGCUAAUACCGUAUACGCCCUACGGGGGAAAGAUUUAUCGGAAUUGGAUGAGCCCGCGUAAGAUUAGCUAGUUGGUGAGGUAAUGGCUCACCAAGGCGACGAUCUUUAGCUGGUCUGAGAGGAUGAUCAGCCACACUGGGACUGAGACACGGCCCAGACUCCUACGGGAGGCAGCAGUGGGGAAUAUUGGACAAUGGGCGAAAGCCUGAUCCAGCCAUGCCGCGUGAGUGAUGAAGGCCUUAGGGUUGUAAAGCUCUUUCACCGGUGAAGAUAAUGACGGUAACCGGAGAAGAAGCCCCGGCUAACUUCGUGCCAGCCGCCGCAGUAAAAC
rnacentral:rRNA from 1 species